rnacentral:lncRNA from 1 species
ACUUUUUUUUUUUUUUUUUUUGUUAGGGGGUGGGGGAGAGAGGGAUGUUUGCGUAUGAAAUUAGCUACUUAGCAGAGCACCUUCAUGAUAUUUCUCCAAAUCAGCAUCAAGAGCUUCGGCUGAGACUUUUUCAGCAAGAUUUUUCUUUCCUCGACCUUCCUGUCCACGUCUCCCUGCUUGCUUAAACCCAUCCCUGCUGUUACUGACCAACAGAACAACGCACUAUAUAAUUAGGGAUAUGAAACGAGUUUUAACAAUGCAAAAGACGCCAUCUUACUGGUUGUAGGCUUUCUUGAAAUGCUUAUUUAUUACAGAAAAUAGUUUUUCCCACAUACCAUUGCGUACUACCAGAAAAGAGGAGGACUCGAGGACCUCAAUAAACUUCAUCUCAACAACUAAUUCAUGUCAUACCAGGACAAACAUGUCAAAUCCAUAGUUACUGCACUUAACAAGAGUCAGAUAAUGGACAUUCUAAAACAAAAAUAGAAACUGAUUGGAAACUUCGACAAAAAAAAAAAAAAAAAAAAAAAAAAAAACUGAUUGGAAACACAUACCACGCAAACCUAAAAUAAAUUAAACCAAAAAAAGGGGGGGAGGGGAAUAAGAGGUCCCUUGAGACCAGUAGAAAUAAACAAAUGAUUAAACGGAAUAGAAAACAAAAAUCAUGCCUCUGAGAGAGACAGAUAAGAGAUGUCAGCUCAUUGGGUAACAACCAAGAAAAUCAUGCUUUGACAAUUCGCCCCACAAAAUUGCUGAUAUUAAAGAAAAUAUUCCCUUACCACAUGCAAUUAAGCAAAUUGGUACAAAGGGUGUACGGCAGAACAAAUAGGCUGCCAGAUUCCGAAGCAAAAUAACAAGACAUGCUCAUGAGGACGGGCUAUACAAAAGACAUGAAGACAUGUUACAUACCUUCUGAAGGCCCCACUUUGAUAUCCCAAAUCGCCUUCACUUGAUGGAGGCACAGCAUAUGCUACAAAAUCACCUCCUAUAAUCUCAAUUUUGAUUGGCCUCCCAUCAAGCAGCAAAUCAUUGUAUCUAUUGAUAGCUUUUAAAGCAUCUGAAUGUCGUGCAAAUACCACUUCUGCAGUUCCCUGAGUAAAAAAUUGUUGUCUAAGCUCGUGGCCAGAAAACAUCUUCACAAUGAAAUAUAAGUAACCAAAUGCAAAAAUGUACCGUGGACUUUCCAGUCCGGUCAUAGUGAAUUGCAUAUCGCUUUAGCUCACCAACAUCUGAAAAUAGUACCUGCAAAAGAUUACGUAUAUGUAAAGCUUGAUCCGAGCAUUUCGCUAUGAGAUAAAAUGUAUGUUGUUUGCUUGCUAGAUUGAAGAGAAAAGAAUUAAAUAUGCACAUCUGAUUCUAUUCACGAGCAAGAAUUGCUUCUAAAGACACCUAACUACUUCAUUGCCCACAGUCGGCUUAUCUUUUAUCCAUUCUGCUUUAGCAAUGUGUUUCUGGCAUUAAAAAGCUAUGGCAGGACAACCUCAAAAUUGACAUUCUUGAAUAGUUGAUCUCUCAAAGUGAAUCGGAGUUGGCCAAAAGCAGAGAGAGAAGAAUUGCAAGGUAAAACACAAGAACUAUCUAUUCCUCUGAAUCUGCAGUUUCUCAAUUAACGUGUAAACAUAAUAGUUAAUGAUCAAAGGCAUGGCGCAUGUAUUAUAAAGCAAGCAGGCGUGAUACUCAAGAACUAGGGAACAACUAGCAAAUGAGCUUCAGAGAAAUAUCUACUGAAGACAAAGAAAAAGGGAAAGAAAAAGAAACUGAGCUCCGGAUUCCAUUUAGGCAACUGAAAAUACCCACACGAAAACUGAUGUAUUUCCUUAUAUUCACCUUGCGUUCCGUGCAAACAAUACGCAACGAAUAUAAUAACAAAGCCCAUCAAUUCGUCAUUCCCUUUCAUAACUCACAGUUUUUUGUAUGAGUGUUUCGAUAAAUGGACUCUGCGAAGACACUUCAAAAGCCGGCAACUUUUGAAGUGCUCCGCAGCACUUAACUACUAAACCCCCCAAACCCCCCCAUCAAUUCGUCAUUCACUCUCGUUAAAUUGUUAAAAAAUUGGAAGUCCAACCAUCCAAAUACUUAUUUCAACUUGCCAGAAACAGGGCCCAGAUUUUCAUAUUCAAGAAUAAAGACGACUAAAACUUCUGAGCUAAUUCCAAUCUUCGCAGAAGUCCUGACGCCCAGAAGCCCAGGAAGGGUGGAUCAAGAACCAAUAAACCAAAUUUCAACCACAUAAAAUCAGCCAAGAUCAACAAAGUACCAAGCUAACAAACCCUUUUUCUUUUCUUUCUCUCUUUGCCUUGUUUGAAUGAACAUUUCUGUGUUGAAAUGCUCCAUCAAGUUAAAAGUCAAAAACAGGCCAAAAAUGACAAACACUGGAAUAAGAGGAACCAAAAAAUGCACCUUGAUAUCGUCAUUAGUAACCCCAAAAUGCAGGUUGGACACGUAGAGUUUUGUCCCACUGCUAGCCCCUCCUUCUUCAACCAUCCCAGUUUCAAGCAUCCGAAGCCCCUGCAUUCAUUUUUAAGUGCUAAAUAAAUACCUUAAAACCCCACCUUUUUUUGUACAGAUCCCUUCAUUACGGGAAAACAUGCAAAAACUAGUAAAAAAGAAAAGGAGGAGGGGGUGACCGGAGAUCUUGAAGUCACAGCCACACGUGGUCGAAGGUACGGAACCGUACGGUACGGAACGAAGACCAGUGUCCGGCGAGUUGGGCCGGGACCAGAACUCAUACAGUGAGCUUGGCCAAGGCCACGGCCACGUCCUCCUCCGCGGCCUCUGAAAUUGCCAUGAUCUCCUCCAGAUUUCCUGUUUCUGUUGAUAAGAUCGUCUAGGGACAUGUCCAGAAGAUCGGCCAUUUUUGAGUAUCAAUCAAGAAAACAAAAGCAUUGAGGUUUUUUAGUUCUUCGUUUUGAGGAGGAUUUGGAGAAGAGGUUUUAGGACAGUGUGGCUGUUAUGCGGGGGUUUACGAGUGAAAAAUGAAAAGCGAACAAAAAAAUUCAAAAUUUCACGUGAUUAGUUAGGAGCACGAAUUUUACUAGGUAUUUACCAAAAUAAACCAAUAUUUAUUAGAAGUUCUGAAAUUAGCCCAAACCUUUUGAAUUCUCUCUAAAAUUAGAGAUUUCAUUAUUUGAAAUAGCCGUUUUAAAGUCAUUAUUUGAAGUUUCAAAAGAAUGACCUUACAUGUUCAAAACAAGAAAAUUAAAGAUAAAAAUAGUUCAAAACAAAAAAAAUUGAAACUCGCCAUCUUUCCUAUGAACACUUUAUCACUAUUUCAAAAAAUGAAAUCUCCACUUCAGAAAGGAAUCAAGAAUUUAGACCAUUUUUGAAAAUUUUCAAUAAAAGUUGGAUUAUUUAGGCAAAUAACCCCGAAUUUUUCAAUCACUUAUCCAAUUGUUGGUAUCUUAAAUUACCAAUUUGCCCGUUUUGGAUUUAGUGCAUUAAAGGAGAUCUUUCAGGGUUGAGUUUGGUAGAAAAGGUGAAACUGAUGGGCGUAUUUCAAAUUGAAAAUGUACCGUUCUGCAGUAGCUUCACGGGACUUACUUUUUGAAUUUGUUUUCGGUUUUCACUUUUCACAGAGACACAGGCCGAUAAACUUGCUUCGCAAGCAAGUUGCCAGUUGCCACUUACAGAAAUCCGAAUGUAACCUUUCCUUUUUUAGUGCAUCUUUUCUUUUUCAUGCUUGCAUUUAUUUGACGUGUCAACUGAUAUUCGAACCCGUGACAGUUCGAUGUUUAAGAUCUGUUAAACUAUUUAUUGAUGAUAGGAUACAAUUAUGACAAGCAAUAUAUAUACAUAUUUGAACGAAUAUAUCACUUUAUUAAUUUGAGGAAAUCAUGUUGGCCGACCAAUUUUGUGAGUGUGAAAAUUGUUCUCACAAAUUUGCUAUAAACUCCAAGGCUCACAAGUAUUACGCUGCGCAAUCUCACAAUUUGUACGCAUACACGAUUUAUUUAUUCUAAACUUUCGGAAAAAAAAGGGUAAGUCACCAUUUGGAUUUUUAUGGCAAAAGAAAUGAAAUCCAUCGAAUAGUCAUUAUUUGAAAUUUUUUUUAGGAGGGGUAAUUGAAUCCAAAAUUGCGUCGUUUUCCGUGUCAUAUUUUCCUAUUACCUUUUUCCCUCACAUACAUCAAAUCGCUACAGUAAUUUUUUCAUGAAAAAUUAUGAAAAAUGCAAUCCAAAUGGGGCCUUAUAUUUCUCGGGGUCUUUCGUGGAAGAAAGGGUAAGCCGCCAUUUGGAUUUUUAUAGCCAAAGAAAUGAAUUCCACUGGACGGUCAUUAUUUGAAUUUUUCGUUUGAGAAGGGGGAAUUGAGUCCAAAAUUUAUAAUUCUUAAGGUUUCAACUUUAAUUAGUAUACAAAUGUCAGUUUAGCUGCAAAUGAUUAUUUUGCUCAUAUCAUAAAUAUAUUUUAUAAUCAUUAUUUUAUUUCAUAUACAUUACAUUAUAAAAGUACUAUAGUAUUGUUGUGAAUAAUUUUUUCGAAUAAACUUCUAUUUUCGACAAUCUUAUGCAUGUAAAAACUAAAUAGGUAAACUAUACUCGUGAAAUUCCAGACACUGACACAAAAUAGUAGAUAUCAAAGGUUAAGAGAAGAUGUGUUUAAACGAACACUCAUGAACAAUUAUCCCAACCUGCAAUUAUUUGGCACUGAUCCAUUGCUUUAGCAGUUUAUACUGGUAAUUAAAUGAAGGGCAAAAAACCUGGGCGGCCAUUAAACUUUUCUCAACAUCAUGUUUUGACCAUCGAACUAUUUUUUGUCAAUUAUUGACCACUAAACAACUUAAUCAGUCCACCCGUGCCCAUUUCGUCGGUAAUGGCUGUUAAUUUCUGAAAUUAGCAUUACACGCGGCAAAUCACAGGGGCAAUUUUGUCCGUCAAUCCACUGACCGUUCCCUUACAUUAAUACAUCAACUGAAAAGAAAAAAAGAGCGGUAGAAACAAGCCAAUCAAACAAACUGAAAUGUCUGGUCUUGUGGAGGAAACAAUUGGGACUCAAUUUCCAGCCCUAAAUCCUGUGUCAGAAAUCGAAGAAGCCAAAGAAUGUCGAGACGCUCUCCUAAACCCAUACCUAGAUGCUCCUGCGGAUUAACAGCAAUGGUGAAGACCUCAUGGACAAAUUGGAACCCAGCAAGAAGAUUUGUGGUCUGCACUUUAGGAGAGGUAAGAUCUUAGAGAGGUAAGAUGUUAGAUUUGUAAUGGAAAUGUUAUAACAAGAGGAUUUAGUCUUGGAAAAUGUAAAUUGCAGGAUGAGGGAUGUGGUUUUUGGGAAUGGUAUGAUCCAACAAUGUGCGAAAGAUCAACUCAAGUGAUUCCUGGUUUGCUGCGAAGAAUGAAUAGAAUGGAAAGUAAUAUGGAGGAAUUAGAAACUUCAGCAAGAAGAUGGGAAAAUAAAGCUCAAAAAUUGGAACUUAAAGUUGCAAAAUUGGAGGGUGAAGUGAAAAAGUACAAGACCAGAGAGCACUAUCUCAAAAGAGCUCUUCUCGGUACAUGGGCAUUUCUAUUGCUGUAUUGUUUUUGCUGCUAUCUGAAGACUGUUAUUAAGAGUGACCAUAUGUUGGCCAUCAAGGGAUAGUUAAUGUUGUUGGGUGAUUGUGAUGAAAUGAGAGUAGUAAGGUUGAGUGGAGACAGCUUUUGGUGGUAGUGUCCGUAGCAAUAGCAGACCAAAGAUUCCCAUGUUGUAUUUUGUAGUGAUUUUUUCAUUGGUUUGCUUUCUUAUGUAAUGGAAUCCCUACUGUAAUUGUGUUACUUUUUACUGAAUGAAUGGAUGCAAGUUUUUUGUAGUUUCUGAUGAAUGCGGCAUUAUAACACAGAAAAUUAAGACAAAAGGACCAUUUCCAUUAGAUAAAACCAACUAGAAAAGUUUCCAAUUUGCAAAAAUACACAGCUUUCUGUUGAAUAAGCAAAAAGAUAGUGGAUGAAAAACAAAAGGCAUCCACCAUAACAAAACAAAAGCCAUCCACUAUCAACAUGAAGUGGAUCCCAUCAACUUAAAUAAACUAUUAUAAGUCAAAAGACUUAUGUACAUAUCAGUCACCAUCAUCAACAUCUCGGAUCACAUCUAAAACUGUAUCCAAUUCCAUCUAACUUGCACCUGCACUUCUGCCUCUUGUAGAUCUAGAUCUAGAUCUACCAGCAUUUGCACCUCUUCUACCCCUCCACCUACCAACCUUGAAGGGUGGUUCCUUUCCCAAGUAGGCAUAAUUAGCAUUAAUCAUCCCUUUGUCAGCAUCAGUCAAGGGCCGUUUACCAUUUCUGUUGAAUUUCAUGCCAGAUCUAGAACUUGUAGCUGCUGGAUCUGGUUGCUGAACUACUGGUAUUGGCUGUUGAAGUGGUGGAGUUGGGUGUUGGGACAUUAGAUCUGAUUGCUGAGUUGCAGAUGCGAUUGGUUGGCUUGGUUGGCUAGCUAAUGGAGUUUCCUGUUGCUGUAGCCCUUGGGUCUCUAUACCUUGUGACUGGACUACUUUUGCUUGCUGUUUUCUUCUAGAAACCUUAUACAAAUGCCAGUUGAUUAGAGACUAUAUGUAUGUAUACUAUAUGACAUUUGAAAUACAUUGAACUGUAUGUAUACUCACAUGUUUUUUCUUCUUUGGCUGGCCAGAUUGUUGGUGCUCAGUCACCUCUUUGCAUGUUGCAGCAUUGUGCCCUGUUUUACCACAUUUUCUGCAAUGCAUAGUGACAUUUUUUCUAAGUUUUCUUCCAUGGUUCUUCCCUUCUGUCUCAUCUCUUCUCCUUGCCUUUUUUAGCCUCCCAGGCUGGACAGUGGGAAUUGGAGGAUCAAGUUGAAGCAUGCUGGACUCAGGCCACAGUACUUGGCUGCUGAUGGGUUGUAAGACAUUAUUAUAAAUCUGUAAAAAUAAGCUCUUGUAGUAAUAUUCCACAAUCAUUUCAUGUGGAUCAUCCUCAGUUUGCUUUAUUGCUGCAAUGGCAUGGGUACAAGGUAAGCCAGAUAAUUCCCAGAUUCGACAAGUGCAACUCUUCAUUCUCAAAUUCACAGCAAACUGGGAAUUUCUUGGACCUUUUACCUGAUAACCAUCAAUCCCAUUGAACUGUGGGAACCACUGGAAAGAUUCUUCAAUUCUGUCCUCAACAAUUUUUCUGAUCAGAGGACCAGUUGAGUGUGGAUAUCUAGUCAUGGCAGCCUUUCUUUUUUGAAUUCUUUCCAUCAUCAGUUCUCUAAUAUUCUCCAAGCAAGAUAUAAUUGGUUUAUCCCUGGCCUCUAGUAUAUGUGAAUUGAAAGAUUCGCACAGAUUAUUGACAAUCAUGUCACAUUUAGUGUGAGGAGAAAAGUAAGCCUUACACCAAUGCAUCGGAUGAGGAGCCUUCUCCACCCACUUGUAUGCUUCAUUGUCAUACUCUUUCAAGUCCUCAAUAGCUUUCUUGUACAUCUCAAUUGUGCUGCUCCUAGCUAUCGCCCACAGCAUCCCUUUAAGUGCCUUUCCAGGAUGUUUCUUCUUGAAAUUUUGAUACAUAUGCUGCACACAAUAUCUAUGCUCAGAGUUGGGUAGCACCUCGGAUAAUGCUCUGUCCAAUCCCUGCACAAAAACAAAUGAAUUAUUGGUUCAAGCAGCCACAAGUCUCACAUCAAAUGUUGGAUAAUAAGAUCCAUACCUUUUGUUGAUCAGAGAUGAAAGUGUAGUGACACUGAUUAUCUAUUUCCAGAUCUGCUUGGAGAAGUUGUAAGAACGAUUUCCACUGUAUUGUAGCUUCCUUCUCCACUAUGGCCCAAGCAAUAGGCCACCAACCAUUGUUGGGAUCAACUGCCACUGCUGAUAACAGUUGACCAGGGUAAGGCCCUUUUAUAUGGCAGCCAUCAAGUCCAAUCACAGGUCUACACAUUUUGAAUCCUUCUUUUAGUGCACCUAAACAACAGUACAGUCUCAUGAACCUAGGAUUCGAACCUGGAUCUCUAAAUGGAGUGAACUCGACCACCAUGGUAGAAUUAGUAUGAGUCUUCUUAAUCUCCUCACAAUAUUCCCAUAUAUGCUUAUACUGUUCGACUGCACAACCUUUGAUUCUGUCAACAGCUAUACCUCUAGCAUUUCUGGCUAUUGUUUUCGAUAUUUGUAUCUUGUACUCCUCAUGCACUGUCUGCCUUAAAGCAUGGACUGGAAUGUUCAUAUUGGCCCUAAUUUUGUCCUCAUAUCUCUCAGCAACCCAUUUAGCAGUCAUCAUUUUAUUUUUCCAGGCAUGACUGCAGUUUGAGUGUACAUCAUAAAGGGUCUUAAUCACCAAAUCAUUCGGCCCAAUUGCUUUCUCUUGAGAAGCAUAACACUCCCAGUUGCAUGGAUCCUUGCACCUUACUCUUACUCUCAAUUCCUCAUUAGUGUAGUACCAAACAGGUUUACCAUUAGCAAUAGAAUAAUUCUGCAUUGCGGCCUUAAACUCAGCUGAUGAUGCAAAUCGCAUCCCAACCUGGAAAUGUGGAUUUCUCAUGUCCUUUUCAGCAUUGAAGUCAACAUAUUUGAUUCCCUUCUGCACUUCAUCAUCUUCAUCAGAAGAACCAUCAAUGCUAUGCAGGUCAUCCUCCAUCAUGUUGUCAUGCAACACAUCUUCAUCAGCAGCUUCUUCCAUUUCCUCAGCAGCUUCCUGUGAUGAUGUGUUAUUAACAGCCUGUGCUGAUGAUGUCUUCUCCCUUCUUGCUGAUCUCUUUCUUUUUCCUCUUGUUGUUUUUCUAGGAUACUUUUUCUUUGCUCUCUUACUGCCACCAGAUGAUCCUUUAGUUGCCUGUGAUUGUUUUUCAGCUUGGACAUCAUGUUGACCAUCUCCAUGUGUACCACUUUCCAAGCCAUUUACAUCUUGGCUCUCAUGGAGUAUAGAUUCAGUAGUUCUCCUCAUAACAGGAGGGGAUAUUUCAACUGUGGGAGUUGGUUUCUCACUCCCAAGCAUUUGAUCAUCUUUGCAAAACUCUUCGUCAUCAGUGAAAUGCUCCCCUUCUGAGCUGCUGUCAUCUUUAUUAUCUUCUUCACCUGCCCUUGCAUUCACAUCAGUUUUAUCUCCUUGACUCCUACUCUUUACACCAGUCCCACUAGCUUCUCCCUCAAUGACAACACUUACUCUUACACCUUCACCUCUACUUGUACCUCCCAUUGCUGCUCCAGGGGCAGUCAUAUUUGUACUAACAAAAGAGCUACCAAACAGGUUUUUUCUAACCACCAAUUGUUUAUCAAGUUCUACAACUCCACUGCCAUGUUCAUCUACAACUACACUACCAUGUUCAUCAAUUUCUUCAAUUACAACCCCUGUUUUUUUCUUACUACCUAACAGUGGGGAAUGUGACUGGAUGUCAAGAAUUUCAUGUAAAGGCCUAUGGUCACAAUAAACAUCUAUCAGUUUGUGCUCGUACGCCCAUUUGCACAUUGCCACUAUAUCUGCAUCUCCUUGUAACUCUCUUAAUCCCUUAUUCAAAUCACUCCCAGGUUCUAAGUAAUAGUAAAGCAUUGUACCAUUAUGUCCUAAAUCCUGAACCAUCUCAUUUAUCUCAUGGACAGACAUUCUCUCCGCAUCACAUGCAUCAACAUAAUCUAUUUCACCACCAACGUAUGUUUUAUACUGACGCCCACUAAAUCUACCACCAUGAAACAUUCUAAUACUGAAUAGUUCAGAAUUAGGCACUGCAAUGAAAUGAGAAAAAAAAAAGGAAUCACUUCAUUUGAAAAAACAAGGCUGAAAAAAACACUUGUUUAUUUCAAAAUUUUCCACUUUUACAACCGGCAGUUGGAUGAAAACCCUAACAUUUAAACCCCAUAAUGCUGCUACAUAUUCACAACCCACAAAUAAGCACCUUCGAUUUCAGACACAAACUUGAGUAAUACACCCAUUACAUUUAGUUUAAAGUAUAGUUUCAGUUCAUUCACAUGAUUUUCUCCGAAAAAUAACUUACCGUAAAUUUCAUAUGGAUCAAUGUCGACGUCUCUUCUCCUGAUGAUCCACUCCAUAGAUUCACCACGAUUUUCCCUUCUCUUCGAUCUUCAAAACCCUUCUCUUCGAUCUUCCUACAACGAUUUUGAAAACUUCAGUUUGUUUGAUUGACUUGUUUCUACCGCUCUUUUUUUCUUUUCAGUUGAUGUAUUAAUGUAAGGGAACGGUCAGUGGAUUGACGGACAAAAUUGCCCCUGUGAUUUGCCGCGUGUAAUGCUAAUUUCAGAAAUUAACAGCCAUUACCGACGAAAUGGGCACGGGUGGACUGAUUAAGUUGUUUAGUGGUCAAUAAUUGACAAAAAAUAUUUCGAUGGUCAAAACAUGAUGUUGAAAAAAGUUUAAUGGCCGCCCAGGUUUUUUGCCCUUAAAUGAAACGACAUAAUAGAAACUUGAGACACUACUAAUACAACCUCACGGUGUGCUGAGGAUUGGGCUGCCUUGGAUCUAGGGAAAUGUUGCCCUUUUGGCUUUUUUUUUUUUUCGGAAAUCCAUAGAAACUCAUACAUCCAGCUAGAUUAGAAACACCCAGAAAUCAUCGUCAAAUUGAGUCAAAGACUAAUCUAAGAAAAACCACUUGGUAAUAGAACAAGGUCCCAAUUAUUCUUAAAUUCAGGUUGAAGAACCCACACAGUCUUUCCAAGGUCCUUAAACCGAUAGAAAUGUUGCCCUAUUGGCGCGGAAAGCGUGUUUGGACCGAUUUUUUUUUAAAAAUGAUACGUUAGCAUUUUUUUUUGGUGACGUAAUGCACCUGAAAUAAAAUGUCAAUUAAAAAGAUAAAAAAUUUAAAAAAUCAAUUAAUUAAGAUGCAAGCAAAAUUCUCUUUUGUCUAAAAGACAAAAAAAAAAAAAAAGUUCACCCGCAAUCACGCAGUCAAGCAAGAUGAAGAAGGAAGGCAAAGACGGCCACCUGCGACCUGCGUAAAUGCCGACAAAAAAAGAGGCCACCGCAGCCCAAAAUUAGUUACUACGUCAUAAUUCACAGUAAGACCGCCCAGAAGAAGCCACCAUUCUUCCUCCAUAAUAUUUUUAUUCUUUUUUGCAUAAAUUUGCAUUUCGUGAGGGGUUUUCCAAUUUCACAGUUUUUAACCGCCAAAGCCGAUGUAGAAAGAGAGAGAUAGAACAAGAAAACCCCCCCAAAAAAAAAGAGUGAGUUGGAGAGAGAAAUGGAGGAAAGCUAUGAAGUAAUGAAGAAUAACAGCGACGACGACGACGACGACCACAAUUCUACCCAAAAAGCCGGCCAGAGAGUUGCUGUAGCUAGGGGGGAAAAGCUCGCUCCGGCUACUAAUUCCAAGGCUAAGGCUGCAGCUAAUGACUCCUCUAAAAGCAGAGAAGAAGGCGAACUCUCUUCCUCUGAUGAUGACGACGAUGUAUUCUCUCUAGCUUCAAACCCUAAUUUUAUGUUUCAGUCUGAGCUAUGAACUUAUCACUCGCAUCGCUGCUGGAAAUUAUGGACCUUUCUUCUUUUCCCUGUAUGAAUCACGAGUAAAUCUUUUGUUAUUUUCUGCUUUAGUUGUAGGACUUUCUGAAACAUUUGUUACUUUUCUUCCAUUAAAAUGGUUAAGUAUGAGAUUUUCUUUUUGGUUGAUUUUGGUAAUUUUACUUUAAAAAAAAUUUUUUUUAUUAGUCUUCGAACGCUAAGAAGAAGCCCUGUUAUUUGAGGGCUACGUUUGUUCUGUUUAGUUUGCAUUUGUGUUGUUCUGUUGCUUUUCUUUUUCUUUUUUUUUUUUCUGUUUUUUCUUUUAAACGUUAGGGGCGGAGUUGUUGGUGACAUUCAGUUUUUUGAUAUGCAUGCUUGUGGAGAUUUGAUUUUAGGGCUUUCUUAAUACAUGCAGACUUAAAUAAUUGUCGUUCUACAAUAGAAUAGGUUUGUGGUCACGGCACCUUUAUUUAUUUUUGCUUUUAGGAGGUGGAAUUUAGCCAAGUUGUUCUCCUUAAGAAGUGAAUUUGAUCCUACAGGACUUCCAUGCUACUGCAUCUGCAUCUCAUCUUGCUGGAUGUGAUACUGCUCAGGCGGAUCGGCCAGAUUCUGCUGAAGCUUCUUCGGUAGAUAAGGUCAUUCAGGAUGCAGAGAGGGGUACGUUUACUACACCUUGAGGUUAAUUGUUUUUAACCUUCUUGGGGUAACUAUAUAUAAUCUGGAUGGACGAUUAAUUACUUGGUAUGGAACUGUUCUCUUUAAAUAAUUGGCGGACAAUGCAUUAAGUCAUUAUAUAAUGGUUGUUCGGAAUCCAUGCUCUAAUCCCCAAUUUCUGGGAUCUUUUACCAUGUGUAGAAGUUGAUAAUUGUCUCUCUGUAUAGAAUCAUAAAAACUCCUUUUAGAAAUGCCAUAUGUACAGUUACCAGCUUUCCGAGUCUCUGAAUUUUGUUUGGUCCAGUACUUUGGGAUUCCACUAUCUACUCCUUGGUGGUGAUAUUUGCAUGUGUAUAUAUACCCAUUAUGUUAUGCAUGAUGACUAAAUUUUAUGCGCAUUUGUUGGAGGUUCUUUCUGUGUCUUGGGAAGGGACAAGAAUGUUAUUGUUUAGUGUAGUUUGCUUGCUUGAUUCUCCAACUCCGUUAGUUGCUUUUUGUUCACAGAACAGCAUGAUCCUGCCAUCAAGUCUGCAAGCAUGGUUGGUCUAUCUUCUAGAGCUUCUCAGCGGUCAGACCAUCUCAAGAGUUCUGAGAAGAAUCGAGGACCAUUUGUGCCAUUUGUCAUAAGUUUUUCAGAUGAUGACAGUGGCAGUGAUUCUGAUGAUAGCAGGCGUAAUACUCUGGCAACUAAAGACCAAACACAGGGAGUAGAUAGAAGUAGCAGACCGCCUGUAUCUUCUCUCCAAAGGUUGCCGAAGUUGCUUCAAAAUAAAACUAAGAAAGCUAGAUUAGUCAACAGAGAAGCCUUUCCUAGUCGCCCAUUUGUCAAUGGAACAACUUCAUGGAAUUGUAGACAAAUACCUAGCUCUAGAAAUUUCAGUACUGUACAGAAAGGGGUAGCCGGUGAUCAUGGAUCUUUGCAGAAAUCAAUUGUACAUGUUAAUACUAACAAAAGACAACUGCAAGACCUAAGACAGCUAAUUGCAAUCCGAGAAAGUCAGUUAAAGCUCAAGUCAACCCAGCAAACUAAAAAUUCAGUUGGUGGAUCAGGUAGUGAUGGUAAAUUUAAAAACCCUGGAAAUCCUGGGAACAGGGUUCGCAAAGACUCAGGUUUUGACUUGCGCGGUGAGUUGAACAAAGCUGACAAGAAGCGCCUAAAAACUGGAAAACCACAGUGUAGCCAGCUAGAUUUAGAUAAUAAUCUUCAUUCUCUGCAGCCGAUUUUAACAUCAGGAAAGUCUAGGGUGGAUAAUAGUGGUAAAGAGAGUGUAGAUGAUCAUGAUCAUCGUAGCAAAAAACUUUCCUUGGGUACAUCGCUUUCUGGAGUGCAGAAACAGUCAGAGGCGAGGGACUCUCUUUCAUUAGAAAAUCCUCUUAAUACUGCUAUUGCGGGUAAGUGCUUAAUUUUCUUUUUCAAUGCUUUACUUUUGGAGGAAGGAGGGGGGGGAGGGAUUGGGCAGCAUACUGCACAGUUUGAGAUGCCUAAUGAAUGGCGUGAUAAUUAUUAUGCAGGUAAUUGUACUGUUGCUAAUAACAUACAGUGUGCCAGGAAUCCUAAACAAGGCGAUCCUGUAAUUUGGUUGAAACAAUCUGGGCAAAUAGGAAAAAGGGCGACUGGUGAUUUUCCAAAUAGAUCAGUAAGACACACAGAUAAUAUAUCCUAUAUAUGUCUUUUGGUAGCUUUGAUCAUUAUUUUUAAAGAUGUGCAGAGCCUAAAAAUUGGCUUAUUCUAGAUCCAAACAUGCUUAUUUUGAUAUCUUGAAGUUCAAUUUUACUAGUUAGAAUAAUGAAUAAGGUUUACUACCUGUAGAAGAGCAAUGAGGCAAAGUUCAACUAAGAGCCAAUUGUUAAUGGCAUGCAAUGGUGUUGCAACAUGGCCAUGUCAUCUACCUAUGUUUUUGCCACGUGACUUGCUCUUUUCCUAUGAAUAUGUCUGGAAUAUAAAAAAUACAUGGAUAUGCACUGAUCUUUGCAGUUUUGCUGUGCCUUUUAAAGCUGAAUCAAAUAGCUUAAUGUUGUAUGUGACUUUAAAUUCUUUCAAGUUGUCCUUUGUGAUCUUUUCCUCCAUAUUCAGCUUGCUCUUAGAGUAAUUCUGGGUAUUUAUAAUUUAGUUGGGAGAGAUUCAUUCUCCUGGCUGUUAAUGGAAAAAACUUAGUAGUAGCCGCAUAAAUAUUGGUUUUGUUUUCUUUCUCUCUAUUUUUUCCUCUCUCUUGGUUGUACUUUUUAAUGACUUGCUGAAUUAGGACAUCUACCCCCUACCAUCAGACCAUACUUCUAUAUGAUUGAAUCUUGAUGUUUACCUCUUUUAUUCACCAAACAUGACAUAAUUACUUUACUAGUUGUUCUUGGCUAAUUAGGUAAAAAGGGUUCUGAGGAAUGUCUUAGCAAUUUCUUUAUAAGGUCUCUUGUGGUGUGGUAUCAGCUAUUUGAUCUCAUAGUGCUGAACCAAGGAGCUUCAUUUUCUUUCUAGUCUGUGCGACAACUUGUGUAUAUGAAUCUCAAGCAGAUCUCUUGUUUAUUGUUAUAAUCUCAUGAACAUGGUGGUGGAAGAGCUGAUAUCUCUGCCUGUUCCUAGUUCCUACCACACCACCUCUGGUCCUCAAUGGAUCUGCUUGUGUAUUUUAUUGUAAAACAGAGCUUUUCUAUAGCUCCUCGACCACUGAUGCUUAUUUAAUGAAAUUGCAAUCCUUUUUGUCCCAAUUUUCCUCAUAUUGGUAUAUGGAUGUAAUUAGGAGUCGAUCUUUCGCUUGUUUUGUUUUGGUGUGCUCUCUUCUUUAAUUUUUCUGAUCUGUGUCUUUGCGGGAGCUUAACAGAUGAGGGGAGUUGAAAAACAAAGCAGGAUAUAGUUAAUUUGGUCAUAGCUGUUUCUUAAAUUUGGGAUAGAACGUGGUUUUUUUUUUUUUUUUAAUUUCCAAUUCCUCCAAAAAUCUGCAGUCCCAUGUCUGCCACAAAGCUAAAAAGCUUCAGUGAAUCCUUUCCUUUAUUCUGUCUAUACUUGAAAAAUUUAUUAUUUUUCUGAAGCUUCUUGUGUUAAACAAUUCUGUUUUGGGUGGGAAGAUGUUUUACGUUCAUAUCAAGGUGUGUGAAUCCAGACUUGUGUUAUAUACAGUUUUACGUAUGCAUUGUCAUUCUCUUUCUUACUCUUAAGAACAAUGUGCAGUUGGAUCCUGAGGAGUAUGCUCGUCAUGAUGUUCAAGUGUCCAUCCAGAACAAUGUUACAUCUGGCACUAAUUUAACAGAAAGGUGUGAUAGCGAUCAAGCAAAUUCUAGUGACCAAGUGAGCAAAUUAAAAUCAGAUGACAAAGUUCAGGCAUCUAGUCUGCAUCUUGCUGAUGGUAACUUACAGGUUUGUUCUGUACCACAGCUUUUGCUUUAUUUAUUUACUUUUAAAAUCUUGGGCCUCACAUUCAAUUUUGAUUAUCUCUUUCUGUUUCCUUGCAGAAGGCAAGUCUGAGUAAUCCAAGUUUGUUGAAUGGUUUGGACAAGUUAAACAUGAUGGGGAAUAACAUGGAUUUGCAGUCACUGCUGGAGUAUGAGGAGUUGCAAGAUAAGGAAAUAGAGGAUGCACAAGAGCAUCGGCGCAGAUGUGAAAUAGAAGAAAGAAAUGCACUUAUGGCUUAUCGGAAGGCCCAGAGAGCCUUGAUUGAAGCUAAUGCGAGAUGCUCUCAACUCUACAGUAAAAGGGAAUUAUACUCGGCACAGCUUCGAUCUCUCAUGAUGGAGAACCCAAGUUUGGUUGUCUCCCUAAGGCAGCAUGAUCAGGUAGAAGCCCAAUUGGAUUCUUUUAAUUAUGUUUCUGAUGUUAAUGAGCAUCAAAUACCCGCAUCCAGCCGUCAAGUGCACACUGGAUCUGAUAUUAAUGGCAUAUGCGGUAAUAAUAGUAAUGUACCUCCUGCAAACGAUCACUAUCAGAACCCAUCUAAUAUGCAUGUGAGUGGGCAGAACUUGGUAACUGAUCCUUGCUCCAAGCGUGAGGGAAGUCCUUCGGAGGGUCACAAGCAACCUGUGUCAAAUGGUGUCUGCUCCCCUUCUGGUGAUUUAAGUCAGUCAUCUUAUCAGGAAGGUGAGAUAUUUGAAUUUAACCAUAAAUCUGCUCAAGAAAAUAUAGAAUCUGAAAGAACAUCAGAAUUCAACAAAGAUAGGGAAAAGGACAUCUAUGAGGAGUCUGAAAGACAACCACCAUUUGAUAGUUCUCAAGACUGUUUUCUUCUUGAAGCGUCAUUAAGGUCACAGCUCUUUGAAAAGCUAAAGACAAAAAAAUUGCCAAAAAAGGGGACAACCCAGAGCACGGAAGAUUUAGUUGAAAGAAAUGAUGAAAAUGAUGACAGUAGACAGAUGAUGGAGACUGAUACUGCAGAUGUACCAUUGUCUGAGGCAGAGAAUGGCAAACAUUCAGAUUAUGAAGGUAAUAUUUCUUCUUGAGGAUUUACCUGUUUGUCCUGUGAUCCUUUCUUAAUAGUUCUGGGUAGAGCAUUAAAGAAGUCCAAAGUCAUGAGAAUGGAAAUUUUAUCUUACUGUAAGGAACUCCAGAGUACACCUACUACUUUGUUCUUUUGCAAAUGUUCUAUUUAUUGCUACUUGUCAUUCCAUUGUGUAGAUUUAUUUUUUGACUUGACUCUCUAAUUAAUCUUGGAUAAAUAGUGAAGAAAUCUAUUUGUGCAGUCACCACCUCUCUCUCCAUUAAAUGUUGUUUUUUAUGCUGUAUGACAAACUCGCUUUCAUCUGAUUGGAAGCCAAUUAUGUGACUUGCACCGUGUGGAGACUCUCUUCCCCCUCCCCCUCUCCUUUUGAUAUGUCUACCAAGUGGAGACUUCGAUGAUUCAUUUUGUCUCAGAUGUUUGUAAUUGUACAUGUUGACUCUUGCUGUCAUGUAUCCUGGUUUAUGAUCUUUAUUUUUGUAACUUGAUAUUUUCUGUGAUUUUACAAUUUCUACUUUUGGUACAGAUUAUAGCAAGGAAGAAAGAUGUCCUGAACUACCAGUCCAGAUUAACAACCAGUUUGAUAUUCUGCAUUCAGAGCAUGCAUCUUCCUCCCAAGAUGUUUGUAUGGGUAGUUGUAUUUCUCUGGGAAGUCAAGAAUUUAAAACCUCUGGCACUUUUCUCUUGCCGUCAAUGAAGUGUGCAUUUAGUGCCCUGAAGUUCAUAGAACUUUGCAGUGUGCUAGAGUCCAAUAAUGCAAGUACAGGUAUGCUCAUAUCCGAUGUUGAUGAGGAGAACGAGGAUAACCGGGUCACUUGUAAAAGCAAGCCUAGUACAUCAAACUUGGAUUUGCCUGAAACUUCAAUCAACUUAUUUGUUGGAAAAAGUGGGUAUUACUCCUGCAAUCUAGCUAUUGACCCAUUCUGGCCACUUUGUAUGUAUGAACUCCGAGGAAGAUGCAACAACAGUGAGUGUUCUUGGCAGCAUGUUAGAGACUACUGCUGCGACAACAUGAAACAUGAUAGUACUGAUUAUUCUGGUAAUGUUAAGUUCGCUUAAUCUCUAAUAUGAAUCAUGAAAAUCUUUUUUAUACAAUGUCUGUUUUUCUUUUGUAGUUGUUCAGGUCAGAAGACAAUCACCCAGGGAACAAUUUGACGGUGCUAUGGUGCGUAGGAAGUCUCUGAAUCAUGUUGAUUUAGCUGCCCCUACUUAUGUUGUCAGCUUAGACAUUCUGAGACCUGAUUCACAAUCAUUUAUAUCUACUUCAUCUCAAGGUUAUGGACAAUGCUGGGGGAAGUGUUUCAGUGCUUUCUUGGUUUUGUCUAGUUUGUGUCCGAUGGUUUCACAAUCAAAUGAGCCAUUUUUGCAUGGCACUCAAGCUCGUAUAGAGGUCCACUGUAGCUGGAAUAGACAGACAUCUUAUUUUAACAACAGAAAUGGGACACUGGUUUGUCAAAGAAUCCUUUCCUUCUUUGGGUAGUUUGUUUAUGAGUCCUCAUCCUUGUGGCUUCCAAUUUCAUUUACUUGAUUGUUGAAUUACUGCCGGCCUUUUGGCUUUGAGGUGGAAUGCUUAUUUUCAUGGAGUUGAUCUUUUGGAUAGGAAAGUAUAGGAAUAGGUGAAUGUUCAUGUUUCUGCCUUUCUAGAGUUUAAUCUUUAAUGGAGUCUUUAUAUUGUGUUUCCCUCUUUCCUAAACAGAAAAUAUAACUUCGUUAAUGUCGUAAAUCUUGAAAAUGUUCUUCUGAGAUGUCAAUUCCAAUUUGCUUUUCAUUUUGGAACAUCAAAUUUUUUUUGUGGUACAGGAUCUAUAAGCAGAUAAAUACUUGAAGUGUUUAUUUUAUUAAAACAAAAUACUGGAAAGACAAGCACUCCUAGGUUCCUUAACUUUCAGUUCAUAUCUGCUUAGAAGACGGCAAUUCCCUAGUGUUUGCUAUUGGCAUUCAUAUCUAUUUCUGUUUUGGAACACAUGAAGUCAUUACUUAUGAUUUUUCCUUGUAGUGUUGCUUAUGCACUCUCUUGGAUUCUCAUGGUAGAUGUUGUUCAUAUCAAUCUAUACUUAAAGUGGGGUAGCUCAUGCUGGAAUUAUGAGGAUCCGCCUAGUUUUUUUCCUUUGCUCCUUGUAGAACUCUGUCUUCCUUCCCCUUAAACUGAUUCUUGUUUUACUUUGUGCUAGUUUAGCGUGUGUUUCUGCUAGCUUUUUGCAUUUAAUUCAGUGUAGUACACCUUCUAAUAUUGCAAUUUUGGUAGGCUCUCCAGAUGAAUUGUUUUCUCAUUUUCAUGGGUAUAUAGCAAUUAACUUACGUAUUCUUGGGGUUUUCUUAGGGUCAAAUUGAUCAAUGUGUCGUUGAUGCUGACCAAUCCCUGGAAAUAGCUAUCCUUAAUUUCAAUCAGGAGGCUGACAAGUAUAAAGCAAGGAUGCAGGUAUUAAAUGGUUAUUGAGUUGGACCAGAGUAUUCAUUUUGGAAGGAUUUUGUUCUCAUUCCAUUAUCUAAAAUAUUUAGGCUCUUAAAGUUCUUGCUCAAGCCAUUGAGGACAAUCCCACAUCUGCAGUUCUUUGGAUAGUUUACUUGCAAAUUUUCUACAGUAAUCAGAAGGCAAUUGUAAAGGAUGACUUGUUCCGAUAUGCGGUAUGCAUGUUUCUUUUAUUUUCUAUACAAUGAAGAAUUGGAAGUUCGAGACUCGUCAGUUGUGCCUUUUGGAUUCAAUGUUUGAUAUAACCGUGUCGUUAUUGAAAGAUUUCUAUGAGUUUUAUAUGUAAAUAAAGGCGUGAUGAGAGCAAAGGUAUCUUAUUUAGAUAGAAGGUCUUCACAAUAUCAAAGUCUUCAGGAUUUGAUAUUCACUACCAUUUUUGCUAAAAGGUCAUAAACAAACUGUUAAUAUUUAGUACUGUUUCUCUUCUGUCUUUCUUUUUUUGAAUAUAUUCUUGUUCUUGCCCUAUUUUCCCUGUCCCACUUCCUGGAUUACUCUUUCUUCUCUUUUUGUUUCCUGUUGUUAUAUUCAUGGUAUUAAAAACAGAGGUGCAUUAUGACGACGUUAGUGAUAUUUAUUAGUCUUGCUUGCAAUCGUCCCUGUUCUCCAUGGGAAAAAAUAUCACUUGUUCACCAAACUUCUGUUGUUGUUGUCUAGGUUUCCAGUUUUGUGUUUAUUUCAGUACCAGGAGUUUAUGAACUGCUUUAUUUGAUUUCCAGGUUGAAUACAACAAAGAAUCUUAUGAACUCUGGCUUUUAUACAUUAACAGUCGUGUACAGCUCGAUGAUCGGCUGGCUGCAUAUGAUAUUGCACUAUUGGCUCUUUCUCACCAUACAUCUACUUCUGAUGGAGAUGCCAUGCGUGCAAGCCAUUGCACUUUGGAUAUAUUUCUGCAGAUGAUGAAUUUUUUGUGCAUGUCUGGCAGUGCUGGUAUGGCCCUUGAGAAGAUCGCUGGGCUCUUUUGGUCCUCUAAGAAAUCUGACAAUAACCUUCAACUUUCUCUUCCUGAUAUUGUUACUUGCCUGACCAUUUGUGACAAAUUCAUCUUCUGGAUCUGUUGUGUGUAUAUACUUCUAUAUAAGAAAUUGCCUGAUGCUGUGGUACAGAAAUUUGAAUGUAGGAAAGAAUGUUCUGCUAUAGAGUGGCCUUCGAUUUCUUUAAGAUCUGAUGAGAAGCAACAAGCUGCUUCACUCUUGGAAUUAGCUGUUGAUUCACUAGCAUUGUACAUGGAUCAUGAAUCACUUGAAAAUGAAACAACUCUAAGGGCUGCACACCUGUUUGCUCUCAACCAUGUUAGAUGUGUAUCGGUUCUGGAGGGCCUCGAAUGCAGUAGAAAUUUGCUUGGAAAAUAUAUCAAGUUGUAUCCGUCAUGUUUAGAACUUGUUUUGAUGUCAGCUUGGGCUGAAUAUGACUUGGGGGGCUCCAAUUUUAAUGGAUUUGAGGAAGCUCUUAGAAACUGGCCGGAUGAAGUUCCUGGCAUUCAUUGUAUUUGGAAUCAAUAUGUUGGAUGUGUCUUCCAGAGUGGGAAAUUUGAUUUUGUGAAGGACUUAAUGGACCAAUGGUUUCAUUCUGUUCUGGAGGCAAGAUAUUCUGAUUGUGGAGUUUUGCAAGCUAAAGAUGAGAAGUCAGAUAGUUCACUGAUAUCAAUUUCAGUGUCAGAUCUCCAUGCUUGGUUUUUGAGUUGUGGUCAGAAUGACACUGUGUUCGGGAUGCUCAAUCUUUCAUUGUAUAAAUUACUGCAGAACAAUCAAUCCGAAGCUCAAGCUGCAUUAGAUCUGGCACUGAAGGCAGCUACCGCUGAUAAUUACCAGCAUUGUUUGAGAGAACUUGUCCCGUUUUUGCUUAUAGGUAGUAUCAGAGAUAAGGGGGUGGUUCAUCUCAAAGGCAUAUUGAACAUUCUGAAUGUUCAUCUGGUUGAUGUUCGAGCUUCACUUGGCGCAGAACCACUGUCGCGAGAUUUCAUUCAAAAAAUCAAGAAGCCUGUUGCCCGACAGCUUGUCAGCAAGUUGUUGAGUCCAGCUUCAGCUGACUUUUCUUUGAUGAGCUUGGUUCUUGAAGUAUGGUACGGUCUUACUCUGUUACCCCGUGUUUGUGAUAAAGUGACGGAUUUGGUGGACUUUGUGGAAGCCCUGAUGGAGAUUCUGCCUUCUAAUUAUUUGCUUGCAUUUUCUGUCUGCAAAAAGCUUAGUUCCAAUGCCACAAAGUGCUCUGCCAGUUUAUCUUUCUGGGCAAGUUCACUCUUGGUAAAUGCACUUUUUCAUGCUGUUCCUAUAGCACCAGAAUAUGCAUGGGUGGAAGCAGCAGAUGUUUUGCAUGAUUUGACGGACAUUAAGUGUAUACAGGAGAGUUUUCACAAGAAAGCUGUAUCCGUAUAUCCGUUUUCCAUCAAACUGUGGAAAUCUUAUCUCCGUUUAUGCGAGACUGAAGGGAAUGUGGAAUCUGUUAAAAAAGCUGCCAAAGAAAAAGGAAUCGAGCUGGACUAACAAUAUGUUCAUGAAAGAAUGUCAGGUUGGUUGCUUUGGCAAUCAGCUGAAGCAAAUUUUGGGGAAACUUGUAUCUGUUACAUUUAGGCAAACUUGCUAGAUGAUGAUUGAGUGAACAUAGUUGUGUAAAUACUUGAACCGUCAGUAUAUGUAACAUGUCGGUUUACAGGAUAGUCGCCUGGUGCUCUGGAACUCAUUCCUGUGCAUCCAUAGUAGUUUUCUGUCUUCUCUUUUGUGAACGAGCUAGACUGGAUCAUAUGCAGUUACCCAGUUUAGUUCUCAUAACCAGUGUAUCUUCGCAUAAGAGUUUUGAGUUAUAAAUAUCCAGUCAUUUAUAGUUUAUGCACUCUGGUCAGAGCCCAGAGGAAGGAAUUGAAGCUUCUGUGUUUUCUGGUGCAAUGUUUUUUCAUUUGCAAUGAAUGGACGGAGUGAGCAAGCAUCUUGGUCUGCUUUAGAGGUGGCAAUUUGUCCCAAGUCCCAAUGGGCUACCCAUGCCCAUGGGAACUUUGGGUGGGAUGGGUACUGGAAUUUAAUAUUGGGUUUAAAAUGGGACAAAUCCCAAUUGUACCCAUUAAUUGAUGGGAAAUUUUGGGAAAUACUUGGGUACCCAUUGGGCUCAAAUAGCAAGGGCUCCGUUUGGAUUAUCUAUUUUUUGGGAGUGUUUUUGAAAUAUUUUAUUGUAACAGUGUAUAUAAAAAAUUUUUACUAUAAAAUUUUUUUGAAAUAUUUGAUAUACUAAUAUGGAUGGGAUGUUUUUGAGUUAUUAUAUAUUACUGUAACAUUGUAUUUGAAAAUUUUAUUUUUUGAAAAAAUAGCCAAUCCAAACGGAGUCUUAGAUUCAAAAAUUAUCUUUAACAAUUUUUAUUGUCAUACCAGCGAAUAUAAUCUAGUAGUCUUCCUAGUCAUUAUCCACAAGAAUUUUCAACAUUUCAAUCAGUUUAGACCUGUCAUCCUUGGACAAUGAUGAGAAUAAAUAUUCAACACCCUAAAUACCUUGGCCAUCUUGAUAUAUGUUGGAAUAUGGCUGUAUAUCUAUCUUUUCCUUUAUUUGUUAAUCUAAUUUUUGGUGGGAAUCCUGAGUAUAAAGCACUUGCAUGUUUAUUUAAUAAAACUAAAAGAAAUUUAAUAAAUCAAAAAUAUUAAAAUUAUAUAAAAAAUAAAAAAUGAAUUAAAGGAAAAUAAACAUGUAAAAAAUAGAUUUGGGCAUUGGGCGGGAUCAAUCUAAAUCCAUCCCAAAGUGAUCCCGCCCAAGUUAGUCCCAAAACACAUCUGGGUAAGAUUGGACCCAAACCCAUAUGACUCGGUUCCAUCUCAAACCCAAGCAAAUCCCGCUCAUCCCGCCCAUUUUGCCAUCUCUAGUCUGCUUUCAUUUGUUUAUACGCGGCUCUUCGGAGGGUUAAAUAGAAGGAUGGUCAGGGUGACAAAAGUAUGGAGCUAACGGAAGCUAAAUACGUAAAUACUUGCGCGAGAGGUAAAAUAUGAGCAUUGUGCUUUGAGAAUACAUGAAUUAGACUGGUACAAGCAUGAAUCUUAUGCGGUAACUCUAUUUCGCCUCUAGGUCAAACUCGUAUUCUCCGUGAUUGUGAUAUCUUAUAUUUUUUGGUAGAAACAUGUAGAAAGGUAAGGAAGCUAUGUCAUACUAAGAUAAGAAGUUUCUGGUGAAAUCAAUGCGAAGUUGCUAUUAUAACGUGUUUGAGACCCGUACUUUUGACUCAGUGUAAGAAUAUAAUUGCAACUCAAGAGUCAUAGAAAUUAUUGUUAUUUAUAAGUUUUUUUAUGAAACAAUUAUUUAUAAGUUGAUGAUAGUAUCAAAUCACAGUUGAGACAGAGUCUUGACUCCUUGUAAGGAUGCUUCUAUAGAGUCCAAUUAGCUAGGAUGUAAGCUAAACCUUCUUAUGAAAUGUAGAAGAUUGUAAUUCUCAUUAUGGUAGCUAAUAAAUAUUAAUUGUGAGAACUAAAAACUUGUUACGAGUAUUCUCACACGCUUGCAUUUUGUAACUUGGGACGAUCGAGGUUCAUUGAUAAAUCAAGAAAAAUUGAAAAUUUUGAAAAAGCUAUUAAAGAGAAACAAAGGUUGCUCAACAAAAUUAUCAUGGAAAAAAUAAUGGCAUAAAAAUAAACAAAAAAUUACUCAUGGAGAAAAUGUAAUAUGUAAGUUGAAAACAAAGAUAGCUUGAAAUUAUUGGCUUCAGUAGAUAUAUGAUUCAUAUGCAAACGAAUCCUUUAUCAAAAAAUGUUUAUUUUUCUUUGAAUUGUUGUUUAUCUUGUACAAGAAACUCUUGUUUUGCUCAAUUCAAUAUAAUGUUACAUUAUCCAUCUUUCGUUGCUUAGCAGUAAUGCUCGAUUUAAAAUAAAUCUAUAUCACUAAUUUGUAGCAUAACUUUUUUUCAACAUAAAACUUCUCAAAAUAGAAUUUAUAAUUAAAUAUUUCAGCAGUUCUACUUUGGCAUGAGCGACAAUUAAGGUUAAUCCUAUGGCUCAAUUUGAAUCAUUAGAAUCUAAAUUUUGAAGAAAAGAAUUGAAAUUUAAGUGUAUAUUCCAAAACUCGCACUUACCAAAAAAAAAAAAAAAAAAAUCUCAAAAGACAGCCUUUUAAAUUGUAAACCUCAUUAAGGAGUUAAUUCUUCUAUUAUUAUGAUUUCGUCCGACAGGAGCAAACCUCUUCUUUUCUCAGUGCUUAAACCCUAGUUGUCAAUACAACUCAGCAGUUGGAGUAUUUCGCAGAGCUUAUAUCCUUUUUCAUGCUCAUGAGAAUCUUUCUUAGCUAGGGUUCUGGUUAGGCUUUCAUCUGGUUGAUAGAACUUCAUUAGAGUAGAAAUGAAUAAUCUGAAGCUCUCAUGGGAGCUACCGUCGAAGCUUCAAUUGCACUCGGAAGAUGAAGUUGUCCAAUUUGCAGCAUUUGAUAUUGAACGCAACCGUAUCUUCUUCGCUUCCUCGGCCAACUUCAUAUACACAACUCAUAUUCCAUCUCCUCAAGUAAUCUCUUUUUCCUCUGCAUCGUUUUUCGUUUCAGUUUGUACUGUCUAUCGUAUUCUUCUUUUCGCUUUGGCGCGGAAGAUUUGAAUUAUUGUUGUAAACAAAAAAAGUUUUAACCUUGACAAAUUGAGUAAAGAAAAAGGCAGGGCUUUAAUUCAAUUUGUGCUAAUUGGCAUGCAUGAAAGUAGUAGCGAUUAGAUAUGAAAUCAUUUACGCCUAUUAUCAAUGAUGGUUGUUGCGGAGGGUUUGAACAAUGGAUUAGUGAAUUCCAAAAAGUGGCACGAGAGGUAGGUCCCUGUAAAUGAUCAAGAUUUUGCAAAAGAACAAAGCUUCCCUACCCAUUUAGAGGUCCGGAACCAAGCUGACCAAUACAAUUACGAGGACUUCGUUCUUUAUUUCUUUUUUUAACCCCCUAAUAACUGAUCAGUGCCAUCUAAAAGGUCUUUGGCUGAAUAUUUACACUUCCAGCUGCUUGUUUCGGUAGUUGUUACAUGUGUAUAAAGAGGAGUGUAGACAUAUCUGACAUGUAGGAUUUUGUGCCAGAAUGAAGGAACACGGGGUUCAGCUUCAUUAUCUGCAGCAGUUGACUCUAUUGAUAUGGAACCGGGAGAUUACAUUACUUCCAUGGAUUAUCUGAUGGAGAAGGAAGCACUGAUAAUUGGGACUUCGUAUGGGCUUCUCUUGCUAUAUGUUGUGGAUGAUAGUACCACAGAAGUGGUCGGACGAGUGGAGGGUGGCAUAAAGUGCAUUUCGCCUAGUCCAGAUGGAGAUUUGCUUGGUGUAAUUACUGGGUUCGGUCAAAUACUAGUGAUGACGCAUGAUUGGGAUGUGCUAUAUGAGAUGGCACUGGAUGAUCAUCCUGGGGAUGUUGACGUACGUAAGGACUUCUUCCUAUAUUACUUGAUCUUUUUUUACACUGCUAGCUCUUCAUAUCAAGUUGGUGUGGGUAAUUAAGCCUUUUGAUAAUCUACCCUUUCUUUCAGAUGAACCAGCUGUCUCCUCCAACUAUUCUUGUGAGAGUCCCAUUUCUUGGCGAGGUGAUGGCAAAUUCUUUGCAACCCUAAGCAAAGAGCAUGAUGCACUUCCCUUACGUAAAAAACUUAAAGUUUGGGAACGAGAUUCAGGUGCACUUCACUCUGUCUCAGAACCAGUGGGUUUCAUGGGAGCAGUUUUGGACUGGAUGCCCAGUGGGGCAAAAAUUGCAUCUGUUUAUGAUCGAAGGGAAGAAAAGAAGUCCCCAUCAAUAGUUUUCUUUGAGAAGAAUGGAUUGCAACGAAGCUCAUUUGGUGUUAAUGAUAACACUGAUGUAAAGGUAGACUCUUUGAAGUGGAAUUGUAACUCUGAGCUUCUUGCAUUUGUGGUUAGAGGUGAAGAUCAUGAGUCUAUCAAGAUUUGGUUCUUCAAUAAUAAUCAUUGGUAUUUGAAACAAGAGAUUAGAUACUUAAAGCAGGAUGGAGUUAAAUUCAUCUGGGAUCCAACAAAGCCACUACAGUUGAUAAGUUGGACUGUCAAUGGCCAGAUAAUGAUAUACAAUUUCAUGUGGAUCACAGCUGUAAUGGAUAACUCAACAGCAUUUGUAAUUGAUGACUCCAAGAUACUAGUCACCCCACUUUCUGUUUCUCUGAUCCCUCCUCCUAUGUAUUUAUUUAGUUUAAAAUUUCCCAGUGCAGUUCGAAAUAUGGCUUUCUUUUCUCACGGUUCUAAACAUAACCUGGCCACAUUUUUAUCAGAUGGCAGGUUGUGUAUUGUAGAGCUUCCUGAAAUAGAUAUGUGGGAGGAGCUAGAAGGCACUGAAGUCAGUGUUGAGGCUGCCUCAUGUGAUAUUGGAUUUGGAUCUUUUACUCACCUGGCAUGGUUGGACUCACAUGUACUUCUUAGUGUUUCUCAUUUUACCUUUAAUCAGGUUAAUUGCUCAUUAGGAAACUUUUCUGGCAAGGAUGGGCUGCCUGCCUAUUACCUGCAAGAAAUUCAGGUCAUGUGUUCUGAAGAUCAUAAACCUGGUUCUGUAACAUCCACAGGCUGGCAAGCUAAAAUUUCCAACCAAAUUUCUGUUGAAGAACAGGUAAUUGGAAUAAUCCCUGGCCCACUAAAUAGAUGUUCAGCAUAUAUUCAGUUUGAUGGUGGAAAAAUAGUCCAAUAUUUGUCGAAGUUAGGGGGCAACAGAAUGGUUCCUCUUCAGAAAUGUGAUGACAUGUGUUUCUCAUCAUCAUGCCCAUGGAUGACUUUGGCUCUUUCUGGGGGGUUCAUGUCACAGAAGGCUUUACUUUUUGGACUUGAUGACAAUGGAAGGCUUCAAGUCGGUAGAAGGAUAUUAUGUGACAACUGCAGCAGUUUCUCAUUUUAUUCGAAUGCUACAGACCAAUCAAUAACACAUCUGAUUCUUUCAACUAAACAGGAUCUGCUAUUUAUUGUAGACAUUGCGGAUAUUCAAAAUGAACAACUGGCUGUUAAAUAUGGGAAUUUCCUACCUGCUUUCAAGACUAGAACUGGAGAUGAUGGAAGAAACUAUAUAAACAUAUGGGAAAGAGGUGCUAGGGUUAUAGGUGUGCUACAUGGAGAUGAGUCUGCUGUCAUUAUUCAAACAAUUCGUGGAAAUCUUGAAUGUGUCUACCCAAGGAAACUGAUUCUGGCCUCAAUCAUCAAUGCCUUGGUCCAGGGGCGCUUUAGAGAUGCGUUAUACAUGAUACGGCGACAUAGGAUAGACUUUAAUGUUAUUGUUGACCACUGUGGUUGGAAAGCCUUUAUUCAGUCAGCUCCAGAAUUUGUGAAACAGGUGAACAACUUGAGCUAUAUAACUGAGUUUGUUUGUGCUAUCACAAAUGGAAAUGUAAUGGAGACGUUGUAUAAGGAUUACAUAUUGCUACCUUGUCAAAAGGAGUUGAACACUGUAAAAUCUGGAUAUACUGACGAUUCUGAUAGUAACAGCAAGAUUUCUGCUGUCUUGUUGGCGAUAAGAAAGGCCCUGGAGGAGCAAAUAGUGGAAAGUCCUUCAAGGGAACUUUGCAUUUUGACUACAUUGGCUCAAAGCCAACCUCCAGCUCUUGAGGAGGCUUUGACAAGGAUAAAAUUUGUCCGACAAAUGGAGCUAUCAGGUUCUGAUAGUCCAGGACGGAACAAUUAUCCUUCUGCUGAGGAAUCUUUAAAGCAUCUAUUGUGGUUGUCUGAUCCAGAAGCAGUUUUUGAAGCUGCUUUAGGAAUUUAUGAUUUGAACCUAGCAGCUAUGGUUGCAUUAAACUCACAGAAGGAUCCAAAAGAAUUUCUUCCAUUUCUUCAAGAAUUAGAACGUAUGCCAGCUGCAUUAAUGCAAUAUAAUAUUGACCUUAGACUGCAAAGGUAUGAAAAUGCUUUGCAACAUCUUGUUUCAGCUGGAGAUGGUUAUUAUGAAGAUUGCAUGAGGCUCAUGAGAAGUUAUCCUCAGCUUUUCCCCUUGGGUCUGAAACUCAUCAGUGAUCCUGUUAAAAAAGCACAAAUUCUUGAUGCAUGGGGAGAUCAUUUGAGUUCAAUGAAAUCCUUUGAAGAUGCUGCUGUCGCUUACUUGUGUUGUUCUUCUUUGGAAAAAGCUCUGAAAGCUUAUCGCUCUUCUGGUAAUUGGAGAGGAGUUCUUACAGUUGCUGGGCUGAUCAAAUCUGGGAAGGAGGAAGUAAUACAGCUGGCAUAUGAACUCUGCGAGGAGCUCCAGGCACUUGGUAAACCAGGAGAUGCUGCCACAAUAGCCUUGGAGUACUGUGGUGAUGUCAAGGCAGGUAUUGAUCUUUUGGUUAGUGCAAGGGAUUGGGAGGAGGCUCUAAGGAUUGCCUUCCUUCACUUGAGGGAUGAUUUAGUCUCAGAAGUGAAAAUUGAUUGUCUUGAAUGUGCCAACUUGCUGAUUGGUGAAUAUGAGGAGGGUUUAGAGAAAGUAGGGAAGUAUGUGGCACGCUACCUAGCUGUUCGACAGAGGAGGUUAUUACUUGCUGCAAAGCUUCGGUCAGAUGAGCAGUCAGUAGCUGAGCUUGAUGAUGAAACUGCUUCAGAAGUGAGCAGUAGUUUUAGUGGAAUGAGUGCAUACACCACUGGGUAUCCCUCAUGCUUAUAUUGCUUAUUCUACUCUUGGUUCACUUUAGGGUAGAAUGUUGGAUGUGCACGUCCCCUAAUUUCUUAAUCCCCUGAAUUUAUUUUUUGCCUGCUAGAUAUGUACUGACUGAAUUUUUCCUUUUGUUGCUGAUGAUCUUGCACUUCUUAUUUUUGCAUUCGUUCUUUGCUUUGAUGACCCCUUGUACUGAAAAUGCAUCCGGAAUGUGAACUAGUUACUUUUUGAGCUGAUUGACUUUUGUCAGUGGCAUCCCAUAGCUUCCCUCAUGCCUGAAAACUAACCCAACAUCUUUCAUGGGCAGGACAAGGAGGGGUUCAGCUGCUUCAAUCAGUUCAACCUCUACGAAGGGGAGAGGGCGUCAGCGAAAUAAGGGAAAAAUUCGUGCUGGCAGGUAUAUGAUUUGUACAGAGAUUGAGAUUUUUUUUUCCUACUUCUAUAAGCUGUGAGAUUUGAAUCGGUCAUGCUUGUAGCCCUGGUGAGGAGAUGGCUUUGGUUGAACAUUUGAAUGGAAUGGCUUUGGCUACUGGAGCAAAACAUGAGAUUAAAUCUCUUUUAAUGUCCCUUCUGAUGCUUGGAGAGGAAGAUCUUGCUAGGAAAUUGCAACGCGCUUGUGAAAAUUUUCAACUGUCCCAAAUGGCAGCAGUAAAAUUAGCUGAAGAUGCAAUGUUGACUGAUAGCAGGGAUGACCAUGUGUAUUCCUUGGAGCAUUACAUUCGGAAAGUGAGGAAAGAAGUACACAAUUUGGAAGCUUUUUCUUGGCAGUCUAGAGUUUUGGUUUGACGAUGAAGAGGUAAUAUGCAUUGUAUUCAGUUUAUUUUCCAUGAUAUUAUGUGUCACCUUAAUUGAUUAGAAUAUACUUUUCUGAUCAUUUUUGUUUGCAUGUGUCCCCAGUGUCCUUGAUACAGAAAGCAUUGCAUUGGACAGGGAUGAGAUCAUGAAGUUGUGUGAUUGGAACUUGAACCUAUUUUGUCAAAGCCUUCCACGUUUUACUGGAAUCUGCUGUACUCUAAAGGAGGUCAUAUAGAAUAGAUUUGAAUGAAUCAUUCGUUUGUAAUCUAACUUUUCUGUAGCUUUAAGGCAUGCCAAUUUUUAUCGCCAGAAACUUAUUCAAUUGGCUUGCAAUGAUGUUAACACCACUUAAAGUUAACUUGGCAUUUGUUUAAAGUGCAGUUUGAGGGGGCUCAUGUUAGGUUUGCAAGUAUAUCUUAUCCUUAUCUGAUCUUUCUCUGGACCACUUCAUCAUUUGAGAUUGUAUUUUUCAAGUUGACUAUUGUAGUGGAGAAUAGCUUGAUUUUUUAUUGAUGAACAUUUUGCCAAGUUUUAGUCUAUGAUGUCAUAGUGGCAACAUGUUUUGUGCUUUUCUCUUGCACAUCCAGCAGCUUAGUGGGAUUUAAUGCAACAGAGAAGUGUUCUGCUUAUUGUUAUUGUUUGCUUUUUUAUUUCAUUGUUCUUUGCUUCAUGGUGUUUAUUUACUUCUGUUCAGCUGGUGCUCUAGUUCUCCUUGUUUUGUGUAAAUGGGAAUUCUUUGAUUCUGAAAAUUGGCCAUUGAAGUGUCAAGUGAUUCUACUGAAAUUUUUGAAAAGAGGGUAGGUUUUACAAGUUGUAAAGUUCCGUGCAUUGGCAUCACAAAACAUCUAUUGUCGGUGUAUGCACUUGAGCAUGGGCAGUUCAUCCUAUUAACGAAAAAAAUUGACUGGCAGCUGAUUUUCUGGGCUCUUUGAUGAGACUUGCCCCUUUAUUUUAGUAGCAGAGUAUGCUGUUUUCUAGCACUCAGUUCUGUAGCUUAAUCUAGCUGGUGCCAUGCUUGCAAGUGCUGGUUCAUUCUUUAUUGAAUUUAUAGGAUUGGCUUGAUAUGGUGGAGGCUUUCGAGUAAUCACUUCAUUCUGUAGUGUAUCUAUUCAUGUUGAUUUAUCCUAGAUUUCGCUAGGAAACUCUUUCAAUAUUAUGAAUACUUGUAUCUCUGUCCUCCUCAGACCCAUCGACAUACUAGUUAUGAAGAGAUGAGGGGAAAUUAUUUUACUUGGUAAAUCUUCCUGUCUUUCCAAACUGAGAUGACCUGGCAGUUCGAGUAAUGAUGAAUGUAUUUGGAAACAGGACGAUCUGUUAGCAACUAGCUCUUUGACAUUGCAGGGGCAUGGGGUUCAUGUUCAGAUAAAAGGACAAGGAUUUGUACCUUGCAUAAAAACUUCUCUCCUAAUGAUACACGUCAAAUUUAUUCAGUAUAAGCACGGUUUGAAAUGUGUGAAGAUGGAAAUUGGGCUUGCGAUCUUUUCGUCGCGUAAAUGGUGUAGACUAGAAAUUACAUCUAAGAAACCUUUUCUGGGUCUGAAGGUUGGGGUUCGAAGAAAUAGAAUUUGCUUUUGUUCUUUGAUUUCUAUUUUACUCCAGAAGUUAUUAUUUUAACUACUUCUAGGUUUCCCGUUAAGGAAUGUAUUCGCGCUCGCAAUGGCACCCAUUUUCAUCUUUAAACGAAUCAAUCCAUUUGUAGAAGAAUUUGUACGAAAAAUUGUUGAUUUUUUCUCCCCUCCUUGACAGCUUUUCUUUGAGGGACUUCUGUGGCAGUUAAGGAGCCAAGCAUAUCUUCCUCUGAAACAAAUGGACGCAAAGGGGGGAUCAAUUGCUGCUAUCACCCUUACCAAAGCAAUGUGAAGAAUGCUUUGUUUUUCGUGAGGAAAAAUUUGGUUAAUUACUACGUGCGUGUUUCUAGGUAUGAUGCCCAACCCAAGAGAACAAGAGUGCUCGAGCAUCAUUAACACUGAAAAUAAAUUCAUGAACGUGAGAAAACGACAAGUGCUUGAGUAGAAUGCAAUGGGCAAAACAAUGGCGGAAAACACUUAGGGCCCAACCGGGUUCGAACCGGUGACCUCUUGAUCUGCAGUCAAAUGCUCUACCACUGAGCUAUAGGCCCUUUUGUGCUGCAUUGGAGGCAGUCCGCCUAUUGUGGGAUCACUUCCCCUCAUACCUAAUUGUUUACUCUUCUAAACUUAUUUUAUCAGCAAUUUACCCCCAGAAGUUAACGAUCAACUAUGAAUCACCAUGAACAUUUCCGUUUGAAAAUAUGAUAAAAUGGCUUACAUGCCCCUUAAUAUGAAGUGAAUUGACUAACUUGCUUUCUUUUUCUCUCUUUUUUCUUCUGAAUAAUGUCAUGUUUUAAUCUCUUAUUAGCUUCCUUACACAAUGUAGUUUUUAACAUAAACAAAUAUUUUCUUAUUUAUUCACUCUCUAAAUGUUUAUUUCUAUUUUUUUUUUACUAAACAAAGCUGUUUAUCAUUCCCUUUGAUAAUUGCGUAAGGUAGUGAAAGUUCGUAAACUUUUGGAGCCAGUGAUUGAUAAUUAUCGAUUUCAUCAUUAGGACUCCUAAUUAUCGAUUUCAUCAUUAGGAUUCCACAAGACAUGAAGGAAAAUUGAUUCAAAGUUUAUCCAAAAAUUCUGUUGCGAGUGUCAAUGUUUCUUUCUCUUUUUUUUUUGUUGUCUUUUUUAAUUGUUUUUUUUUUUGUCUGUUGGGGGGGGGGGGGGGGGGGGAGAGUGGGUAGGGGGUAGUUGAUUGAGGAAUGGGUGGAUCUACUUGACUUUUUAUUGUAAAUACGAAUCCCGUAUAUUCUAAGGCACAUUUAAUUUAAUUAAGUUUGUGAUGCAUCAAUUCUUUAUCAUGAAUAAGUAAAAGAAUUAGCUAAACAAGAAGUGAAACAAGACGGCAGCAACCAAGACUUCUUUGGAGAUGUGUCCGGCUUCAAACUGAGUGCUGGUCUGAACAAGGCUUGAGCAACAACAUAUCAAUUUUGCCUUCACCAUUCUGCAAACAAGAAUUGAAUGAAAGCCGCCGCGUCUGGCGGGCCUUCUUCUGUUCUCCAUUUUUGCAGAGUGUGAGAAAACUCGUUGCUAAUGGAUUUGAAUAAAUGCAGCUUAUAUCCUACCAAAAAUUCCUAUUCAAGGUGCGUCUGAUCUGUGUCAAUACCCUCAAAUCAGGUUCUGAAACAAGUUACAGCCGUUAGAUGGGAAUAUGAUACAACAUUUUCCACUAUAUUUGUUAGGACCCUUCUCUUACCGUUGCAUAAUUUGCUAUAAGUAUCUUGAGUUUCAUAAUGAACACCAUACCUUCGACCAUCAUAAGGUACUCCCGUUAUCCUGUAAAUUUUCAAGGAGAGAAGUUGGAGGAAGAACGAGAACCAUCAAGAUCAAAGGAAAUUUGGAGAGGAAAGACUUUACUAAGUUUUGAUCUAAACAGUUCUAACAGGCACCAAACCUUCUCUGGCGGCAAAAAGGAAGGCAGUUUGCCUUGCCACCCCACUACUUGUCCACAGCAGAGGAGUUGUUGCUUGUGUUUUGCUAUCAUACUCAAGAAGUCAUUUUAUCAACAUGAUUGGCAGCGCUCUUAUCAGGAAAGAAUACCCAAUUGCCACUUUUACUCCAAACAGCUCAUUUGUGACUCGUGCUCUGAAGUAGAAGCCUGAGUUACCUACACAAUAUGCAAGGCCUCCUCCUUUACUUCAACCCAACUACAUCCUGGAGUCUUUUUCAGUCCUGUCCCCUUCAUACUUGAUCUCGCAUUUGUUGCAUCAUCCCACCUACCUGAUUGAGAAUACAAGUUUGAUAGCACUAUAUAAUGGGCACGGUUCCCCAGCUCAAGGUCGGUGAGAUUUUUCAGUGCUAGCUCACCUAAUUUAAGAUUAGAAUGCAUUCUAGAUGCAUCAAGCAGUGCUCCCCAAACACCAGCAUCAGGUCGCACAGGCAUUUGUUUUAUCAAAUCCAUAACUUCAUCGAACAAUCCAGCACGCCCUAACAGGUCCACCAUACAUGCAUAGUGUUCCAAACCUGGUUCAAGACCGUAUUUUUGCUUCAUGGAGUUAAAUAUUUUUUUACCUUCUUUGGUUAAUCCUGAGUGUCUGCAAGCAGACAAGACACUAAUGAAAGAAAUAGAAUCAAUUUUGGCCUCACUCUCUUGCAUGAGAUAAAAAGUUGCAAGAGCACGAUCACCUAGCCCAUGAACUGAAUAUGCAGCAAUCAUGGCAUUCCAAGAAAUCGUAUUCUUGUGAUUCAUCUCAGUGAAUAUUUGUUCUGAAUAAUCUAGGCGGCCACAUUUUGCAUACAUGUCGAUGAGACCAUUUGCAAUAAGUGUAUAAGACUGAAAUCCUCUUAGGAUUAUACAUGUAUGAACAGCCAUACCUUCUCUAAGGGCAGUCAAAUAUGUUGUUGCUGGCAGGAUGCCCACAAUUGUGACCAAAUUAGGUUGGAAAGCCUCUGAUAUCAUACGAUAAAAUGUAGAAAUGGCUUCCUGAGCACAUCCAUUGUACAUGUAUCCUGCAAUCAUUAUAUUCCAUGAUACCUCAUCUUUAAAGGACUCGAGGUGUUUAAAUAUGACUUCAGCUGAUGAGAGGCUUCUGCAUUUGGCAUACAUAUCCAUUAGAGCAUUCUUCAUAUGGCAGUUUGACUCAAAACCGUAUUUGAUAAUUUGUCCAUGGAUGCAGCUUCCUAGGCAUAGGUCACCUAAUACGGCACAAGCUGGAAGCACACCAGCCAUUGUACCAGAAUCGGGGUGUAACCCAGCUAAUCUUAAUUUGGAAAACAUCUCCAUCACAUGGUAAGGAUCACCAACCUGUGCAUAGCCAGUUAUCAAAGCAUUCCAUGUAACAACCUCUUUAUUUGGCAGUCCAUGGAACACAAUCAAUGCUGAAGAAAACAUAUCACAUUUUGCAUAUAUGGAAACUAGGGCUGUCCCAACAGAUAAAUCAGAGUCAAUAGCAUAUUUGACAGCAUAGCAGUGCAAGCUCUUCCCCAGCUUCACACAAUAUAAUUCACCACAAGCUGGAAGAACACUCACUAAAGUCACUGCAUUAGCCUUCAAUUUCUCAUUCUGCAUUUCCCGAAAAACAGAGAGAGCCUCUUCAUAAUUGCCAGAUUGUGCAAAAGCAGCUAUAAUUGCUGACCAAGCAACUAAAUCCCUUUCUCGAAUCCCCCAAAACAACUCCAUCGCCUUCUCUACUUCUCCACACUUUGCAUACAUGGUCAUCAGAGAAGUAGAUACCAUAACAUCCGAAUCAAUCCUUUGUCUUACUGCAUAAUCAUGAAUUUCCAGCCCCUUCUCAAAAUCCCUCAUCUCAGAGGCUGCUAACAAAGCAUUCACAGCUGAAACCUUAUUCAUCUCCAGAUUCUUCCUCUUCAAACAAUCAAACAACUCCAAAACCUGACAAAACCACCCAUUGUAUGCAUAGCCAGCCAUCAUUGUCCCCCACGUGACAUCAUCUUUCCCCGCCAUUCUAUCAAAAAUCAUUCGAGCUACAUUACAAUAUCCACAUUUCACAUACGCAUCAAUCAACCCAUUCAAAACAGUAGUUGGAAAAUUCCUCCUCCACACAAAACCGUGUAUGGACAUACAAGCUUUUGCAUCCAUCAGCUUACAAACUGCGGGAAACAAAUUUAACAAGCUGACAGCAUUAGGCUCCACCCUACUGCCCAACUGCAUAUACCUAAAAAGUUCCAAGGCCUCAUUAGGCUCCACACUCUGCGAUAGACCUGAAAUCAUAGCAUUCCAAGCCACAACAUCCUUGCUAGGCAUCUUAUCAAAUACCUCUCUGGCACACUCUAAAUCACCAAAUUUGCAGUACAUGUCGACAAGUGCAGUAGCAAUGAAGACGUCGUUUUCAAGCCUUCUUCUGACUAUUUCUCGAUGAACAAGAUUACCCUCUUUUAAAUCUAAAAUUCCAGUGCAGGCUUUGAGUACAAAAGUGAAAGUGUAAUUGUCUGGCCGGACCAAAUUUUCUCCCAUUACGCGGUAAAGUUGGAGGGCUUCUUUGUAUUGGUUUGUUCUUGUGUAGCCUCUGAUCAUUGAGUUCCACAAAAUCACACCAGGGUUUGGCGAGGAAUCGAAAACUAAUCGAGAAAGUUGGCAUUUUUGGAAGGAAGAGUAAUGGUUGAUCAGGUGGGUGUUUGAUGAAAUGUCAAAACCGAGUCCAGCGGUGAUCAAAAGGGCAUGAACUUGCUCAAGAUUCUUGAGGUCUUUACAGGAGGACAGGAGGCCAAGGAGGUUUUCGUGGUUGGGGAAAUUUUGAGGUUUGGUGAAGGAUAAAGAUGGGGUACUGCUGGCUAGUGUUGAAAGGGAUUGUAAGUGCGGCUUCAACUUUGAAUUAGCAUGUCUCAUAAACAUCUUCCUCACCUAGGCAAACCUAUUUGUCAUGGUUCCUUUUGAGUUUUGAUUGAAUAUAACUAGUCACCAGAUACAGCGGAGCGAGAUAAUUCUGCUAACUGCCAUUGAUCUAAGCUUUUAGAUUAAAGCAAAGAGCAUGUGACAACUGACAAGACGAGACGAGCAAGAAUGGCUCCUCUUGGUUCAUGCAACGCAACUAAGGAAGAUACAUAAUUACAUGGUACAACAAUUCUCAUCAAUUAAAUCUGCAAUAGUCAGACCACUGAUCUUUAUAUGCUAAAGUUCAUCAAAAUACUAGGCUACCUGCUUCUUUUUUUCUUUUGCUUUUUUUUUUCCUUUUUCCUUUUUUCCUUUUUUUUUGUCCCACUUUUUCCUUUUUGUCAGUACUUUUUGUCAUUCAUCCUAAAAUCCUAAACAACUCAUAGUCUUGUUUCCACCCUUUUCCCAUUCAUGGUCCUUUUUUUUUUUAAUUUUGGUUUCAAGUUUCAACCCUACUAAGCUAACGUUCGAAUUAUGUUAUAUAUUUCAGACAUAAAUUUGGGCAAAAGAAAAGCACAAAUUACACUUUCGAAUUGGGAUGUUACCAACCACCAGCCUUUGGGUUGAUAACCAUCACUAAGCCAUUUAAAGCUUAGUGGAAUUCCAUCAAUUGUCACAUUAAGUGAUUUUUAAAAAAGUCAGAUGGAUACGUAAUGUAUCAUUCUGGUCCGAUGGUGGUUCAGUUCUCACCGGCCUCCCUAGAUCUAGUUGGGUCUCUACCUUAGAUUAGGAUAGUGUAGAAUACUAUAGAUAAAAAGUAGCGAUUAACAAAAAAAAAAAAUUGGGGUGUUACCGCUACCUAUUUGCCCACUUUCCUAAACAAUCAUAAUUGUUAGUGCUAAUUGUUGAAGGCAGGUAAAAUGUUCGCUUCCAUAUUCUCCAAAUCAUUUUGCUGAAUAUAGAAACAUUUCGAGACCUUACUUAGAAGAACUUUUCACAAGAACAACAUGAUGCAAUACUAUCAAGAAAAUCGGAUGAUUAAUUUUACAGAAAAAUUUUACCAUACCCAAAAAGAAAAUUAAAUGGUUUAUCAAAAUCAGUUUUCUUUGACUACACUGCAAUGCCAUACCAAUAAAAGCAAAAAAAAAAAAAAAAAAAAAAAGUGCCCGAAUUCAGAUUUAUAAGUUUAAUGCUUAAUAAUGGAAGGUGUUUACAUAUGCAAAGUCAUCUAAAAUAUACCCAUUGAACACUCAUUAAGAUGUACUUUAGGUGCAAAAUUUUUUGAAAAAGUAAGAUUAUUUAAGAAAAUUAUAUAAAUACAAGAUAGAGCUAUAGCUGAUUAAUUAAAAAAAUUAUAUAAAUACAAGAUAAAUAAUAAUCAUUAAUAUGUAUACAUACAUAAUAUAUUUAAAUAUACUGCCCAAUAAAACCCAUAAAUGGAACCAUACUAUGUUGGGUGUCUUGAUAACUUACAAUACUCCCAACUUCACGCCCUACCCAAAGCACUCCCAAAUACAAGAAGGUCCUGAACUUUGAGGCUUCGCAGGAAAAAGUCAAAGCAAGCCCAACCCCAUUCUCAGUCCUCGGAACAAAAUAAGGCUUGGAGUGAGUUGGGCAAGAGAGUCCAUGAUACAGAGCAAUAUCUAAAACUAAAAGAAACACAGAGCAAAGCGAAUUUCAUUGCAACCAGCGAUUCUUUUGGAUCGAAAGAGAGAAUUAACAUUGGUCAAAGCCAUGACAGUACAGAAUUAAAAAUAUAAGGAAAAGGGGCAUCAAGCUACAACCAUUAAAUCUAUCCCUGCGCACAAGACACAACAUCCUGCCUUGAUAAAUCACACCCAAGUAGUAAAUAAAUCCACAAAUAACACUGAUAGUAUACUCGAGAUCACCCAAGUUUCAUGAAGCCAAGACGCAAUGAUAAGAUGAACAACAAUCGGAUAUAUCAUCUAAGCAAGUUC